rnacentral:rRNA from 1 species
GACAGAGGCCUCAAGCGUUAGGCGGAAUCACUGGGCUUAAAGCGUGUGUAGGCGGAUCGUUAAGUGUCUUGUGAAAUCCCACGGCUCACCCGUGGAACUGCUGGGCAUACUGGCGAUCUUGGGCCAACUAGGGGCAACUGGAACAAAUGGUGGAGCGGUGAAAUGCGUAGAUAUCAUUUGGAACGCCAAUGGUGAAAACAGGUAGCUGGGGCUGUGCUGACACUGAGACACGAAAGCCAGGGGAGCAAACGGG